AGUGAACGCUGGCGGUAGGCCUAACACAUGCAAGUCGAACGGCAGCACAGUAAGAGCUUGCUCUUACGGGUGGCGAGUGGCGGACGGGUGAGGAAUACAUCGGAAUCUACUUUUUCGUGGGGGAUAACGUAGGGAAACUUACGCUAAUACCGCAUACGACCUACGGGUGAAAGCAGGGGAUCUUCGGACCUUGCGCGAUUGAAUGAGCCGAUGUCGGAUUAGCUAGUUGGCGGGGUAAAGGCCCACCAAGGCGACGAUCCGUAGCUGGUCUGAGAGGAUGAUCAGCCACACUGGAACUGAGACACGGUCCAGGCACCUAGGGAAGGCAGCAGUGGCGAAUAUUGGAAACUGGGCGCAAGCCUGAUCCAGCCAUACCGCGUGGGUGAAGAAGGCCUUCGGGUUGUAAAGCCCUUUUGUUGGGAAAGAAAAGCAGCAGGUUAAUACCCCGCUGUUCUGACGGUACCAAAAGAAUAAGCACCGGCUAACUUCGG
rnacentral:rRNA from 1 species